rnacentral:rRNA from 1 species
UUGUUCCGCCAGGAGCAUUGCCGAGUAGCCAAGUAUGGAUGAGAUAAACGCUGAAAGCAUAUAAGUGUGAAACUCGCCUCAAGAUAAGGUUUCCCUGAAGGGCGCUUGAAGACUACAAGUUUGAUAGGUUGGGAGUGGAAGUGCAGUAAUGCAUGUAGCUAACCAAUACUAAUUGCCCGUUUGGCUUGGUCGC